UGGUGGGGCUCCUUUCAGUAUCCACCAGUGGGCAGCUGCCAUUUUUGUUUCCCAGAAAGUCCAGAAUAAUGUUAUGUCUGAGGCAUUCUGGGAAACAAAAAUGGCAGGUGCCAGCUGAUGGCUAUUGAGAAGAGCUGCACCA